CCUAUAAGAGGUCCCGCCUGCCCAGUGACUACAUGUUCAACGGCCGCGGUAUUAUGACCGUGCAAAGGUAGCGUAAUCACUUGUCUUUUAAAUAAAGUCUAGUAUGAAAGGCACCACGAAAGUUCAACUGUCUCCCACAUCUAAUCAGUGAAACUGAUCCCCCCGUGCAGAAACGGGGAUACUUACAUAAGACGAGAAGACCCCAUGGAGCUUCAAACACGCAAGCAACCGCUAUUAACCCUCAUCUAACCACAAGCAAGCGGACAUGAUAGCUGUUUUCGGUUGGGGCGACCACGGAGAAUAAAAAAUCCUCCGAGACGAAAGGGCMAACCCCCCU
rnacentral:rRNA from 1 species